AAGCAAGAAACCAACAGUAAUAUGGUUUCGGCCCAUAACAAGGUGUUCAACUACACCCUUGCUUU
rnacentral:tRNA from 1 species